GCUCUGGUGGCUUAGUUGGUUAAAGCGUCGGUCUCAUAUACAUGACGCACCUGGUCGCCCAGGUGCACCACUCAGGUAUCCGAAGGUCGUGAGUUCGAUUCUCACCCAGAGCA